rnacentral:rRNA from 1 species
AGAGUUUGAUCCUGGCUCAGGAUGAACGCUGGCGGCGUGCCUAAUACAUGCAAGUCGAACGAGGUGCUUUUGUAGCAAUACGAGAGUAUCCUAGUGGCGAACGGGUGAGUAACGCGUUGGUGACCUACCCCAAAGUGUGAGAUAACAGUCCGAAAGGAUUGCUAAUACCGCAUGUGGUUAUUGGAUUUAGAAACUGAUAACUAAAGGAGCAAUUCGCUUUGGGAGGGACCUGCGUCCCAUCAGCUAGUUGGUGAGGUAACGGCUCACCAAGGCUACGACGGGUAGGGGACCUGAGAGGGUGGCCCCCCACAAUGGAACUGAAACACGGUCCAUACACCUACGGGUGGCAGCAGUAGGGAAUAUUGCACAAUGGGCGAAAGCCUGAUGCAGCAACGCCGCGUGUGCGAUGAAGGCCUUCGGGUCGUAAAGCACUUUUCUGAGAGAUGAGAAAGGACAGUCUCUCAGGAAUAAGUCUCGGCUAACUACGUGCCAGCAGCCGCGGUA